rnacentral:tRNA from 1 species
GGAGACGUGGCCGAGUGGUCGAAGGCGCUCCCCUGCUAAGGGAUUAUCCCUUAUCUCCCUUCCUCUUGAUUUCCUUGCGUUUCUG